rnacentral:rRNA from 1 species
AUUGAACGCUGGCGGCAGGCUUAACACAUGCAAGUCGAGCGGAGCGAGGGUGCUUGCACCUUAGCUUAGCGGCGGACGGGUGAGUAAUGCUUAGGAAUCUGCCUAUUAGUGGGGGACAACAUUCCGAAAGGGAUGCUAAUACCGCAUACGCCCUACGGGGGAAAGCAGGGGAUCUUCGGACCUUGCGCUAAUAGAUGAGCCUAAGUCGGAUUAGCUAGUUGGUGGGGUAAAGGCCUACCAAGGCGACGAUCUGUAGCGGGUCUGAGAGGAUGAUCCGCCACACUGGGACUGAGACACGGCCCAGACUCCUACGGGAGGCAGCAGUGGGUAUAUUGGACAAUGGGCGGAAGCCUGAUCCAGCCAUGCCGCGUGUGUGAAGAAGGCCUUUUGGUUGUAAAGCACUUUAAGCGAGGAGGAGGCUACUAGUAUUAAUACUACUGGAUAGUGGACGUUACUCGCAGAAUAAGCACCGGCUAACUCUGUGCCAGCCGCCGCCGUAA